UCAACCGUCAAGCCUGGCUUGCUAUUGGACUUGCUGUCCGGCUGAAGGACACGUCCCAAAGACAACGACCGUGUCGAGUGUGACCCCAGAUGCAAUGAGCUUUGUUAAGCACGCAUGUAAGGGGCCGCCCGGCCCGGCCUCAACCAUUUUUCUCA
rnacentral:misc_RNA from 1 species